rnacentral:tRNA from 1 species
GGCGCAUUCGUCUAGCGGCCUAGGACACCUCCCUCUCAAGGAGGAGAUCAGGGGUUCGAAUCCCCUAUGCGCUACCA